AACGUAGGAUCCGAGCGUUAUCCGAAUUCACUGGGCGUAAAGCGCGUGUAGGCGGCCGAACAAGUUGGAUGUAAAAUCUCCCGGCUCAACUGGGAGGGGACGUUCAAUACUGUUUAGCUAGAGGGCAGUAGAGGGAGGUGGAAUUCCCGGUGUAGUGGUGAAAUGCGUAGAUAUCGGGAGGAACACCAGUGGCGAAGGCGGCCUCCUGGACUGCCCCUGACGCUGAGACGCGAAAGCUAGGGGAGCGAACGGG
rnacentral:rRNA from 1 species